rnacentral:rRNA from 1 species
UACGAAGGGGGCUAGCGUUGCUCGGAUUUACUGGGCGUAAAGCGCACGUAGGCGGAUCGUUAAGUCGGGGGUGAAAUCCUGGAGCUCAACUCCAGAACUGCCUUCGAUACUGGCGAUCUUGAGUCCGGAAGAGGUGAGUGGAACUCCUAGUGUAGAGGUGGAAUUCGUAGAUAUUAGGAAGAACACCAGUGGCGAAGGCGGCUCACUGGACCGGAACUGACGCUGAGGCGCGAAAGCGUGGGGAGCAAACAGG